AAACUCCAGUUUUGCUUAUUUGAGUGUGCCGAGUCCAUUUCUGCAUCCAUUUCGCACAGAAACGACUCCGACUCAGUCCGACACUCUCCAGAUGUGUCGACCGGUCACUAACACUGAAGCCAAUCCUAUCCAAAGUUCUGGAACACUACACUUAUCCUUUUAUUUUUUAUUUUUUUCACUUUUUUUAUGUUUCAUUUUUAAAUUUCCUUCCUUAUUUUUUUUUAUAUAUUUUUAAUAAUUCUUUUAUUCAGCUUAAUUAAAAUUUAUAUUUAAUACAAAUAAUUGAACUUAUUUAAAAAUUAUUUAUAUAUUUUAAAUUUUUAUAAAAAUAAAUAACAAUUUAGAUUGAAUUAAAAAAAUUU
rnacentral:lncRNA from 1 species